GCUUAACCGGAGAAGUGCAUCGGAAACUGGGAGACUUGAGUGCAGAAGAGGACAGUGGAACUCCAUGUGUAGCGGUGGAAUGCGUAGAUAUAUGGAAGAACACCAGUGGCGAAGGCGGCUGUCUAGUCUGUAACUGACGCUGAGGCUCGAAAGCAUGGGUAGCGAACAGGAUUAGAUACCCUGGUAGUCCAUGCCGUAAACGAUGAGUGCUAAGUGUUGGAGGGUUUCCGCCCUUCAGUGCUGCAGCUAACGCAUUAAGCACUCCGCCUGGGGAGUACGACCGCAAGGUUGAAACUCAAAGGAAUUGACGGGGGCCCGCACAAGCGGUGGAGCAUGUGGUUUAAUUCGAAGCUACGCGAAGAACCUUACCAGGUCUUGACAUCUUCUGCCAAUCUUAGAGAUAAGACGUUCCCUUCGGGGACAGAAUGACAGGUGGUGCAUGGUUGUCGUCAGCUCGUGUCGUGAGAUGUUGGGUUAAGUCCCGCAACGAGCGCAACCCUUAUUAUCAGUUGCCAGCAUUCAGUUGGGCACUCUGGUGAGACUGCCGGUGACAAACCGGAGGAAGGUGGGGAUGACGUCAAAUCAUCAUGCCCCUUAUGACCUGAGCUACACACGUGCUACAAUGGACGGUACAACG
rnacentral:rRNA from 1 species